rnacentral:misc_RNA from 1 species
ACAAACUUGGUCAUUUAGAGGAAGUAAAAGUCGUAACAAGGUCUCCGUUGGUGAACCAGCGGAGGGAUCAUUACUGAGACUUAAUCUCAACCCUUGUGAACUUACUGUGUUGCUUCGGCAGGUUUUCCCUGGGAGGGAAAUGGCUUCGGCAACCUGCCAGAGGCUUUUUUAACUCUGAUUUUGUGGAUUUUCUGAGUUCUUUUAAAACAAGAAAAAACUUUCAGCAACGGAUCUCUUGGUUCUGGCAUCGAUGAAGAACGCAGC